rfam:Lupinus angustifolius cultivar Tanjil chromosome LG09, whole genome shotgun sequence.
UUGCCUUAAACUAAUGAGUAAGGAAAACAAAGCGAACGGUGGGAACCGGUCGCAGCAUCCAUUUAAUGGUUUGCAUGAAUUUAUGGAGGGAUUAUAGGCUAGCCGAGUGUUGACGCUGCUUACUUUGCAGAACUCACUUGUGCAGGCCUCCC